CCCAGCCGAUAGCGAACAAGUAGAGUGAUCGAAAGAUGAAAAGCACUUUGAAAAGAGAGUUAAACAGCACGUGAAAUUGUUGAAAGGGAAGCGCUUGCGACCAGACUCGCUCGCGGGGUUCAGCCGGCCUUCGGGCCGGUGUACUUCCUCGCGGGCGGGCCAGCGUCGGUUUGGGCGGCCGGUCAAAGGCCCUCGGAAUGUAACGCCCCCCGGGGCGUCUUAUAGCCGAGGGU
rnacentral:rRNA from 1 species